ACGUGGGGUGCACGUUGGGUUUCGGUCGUCUGGACCGAAUUCCAGAGUGAUCUUCAGGAGAAAAGAUUCGGAGCCAAACACAGGAUGUGUUGUACAUAUUUUUUUAGAGAAACUCAGAUUCCGUGAAAGAUGGCAGAGAUUUUGCGCCACAGCGUUCAUUUGAUGUGUUACAUAAUUACUGCGUGGAGAGAUGUAGCGUGGUCAGUAGUGACUGGACGUUGGAUUUGUGUUGUAUUGAUUUUAAAAGACACGCAAUUCAUACGUGACGAUAAAGAGCUAUGACAUUUUCCAUCAUGAUAAGAACAAUCUGUUGUUCUGAACAAACCGUGGCUGCUGCUCGCUGUGAGGAAGUUCAGACCCAACGCUCUGAAGGCAUAAACCUGUUUAGGUGUUCUUCAUGUAUUAAAGGUACAACAGAAGUAAGGAAGAUGACCACAAAGGGACAGCAGAGUUCCUUUUCUACCCCAUGACGUCCUACAACCUGGGGUAAUAACAACGAGGGCACAUCUUUAAUAUCUUUACUUCAGUGAGUUUGUUUGUUUGUUUUUAACCUAAAAACACAUUGUUGUAAUGUUGUGUACUCUUAAAGCUCUAACCAACAAUUACAGUCCAAUUAUCUAGAUUAAUUAGGUGUGUAUUGACACAAUAUGCCACGUAUUAUGAAGUUAUGAAGUUUACCAUUGCAGAUAUAUACACACACAGAUAGAUAGAUAGAUAGAUAGAUAGAUAGAUAGAUAGAUAGAUAGAUAGAUAGAUAGAUAGAUAGAUAGAUAGAUAGAUAGAUAGCAAUAGGAAAGGGUAAAAACUUCCAGCUUCCAGGGGAACGUUUACUUUUGGGACAUUUGUCUUGUAUAAUUUUGUUCAUAUAGACAUUUUUUUGCUCCUUGA